rnacentral:miRNA from 1 species
UACAUGUACCGUUGCUCAGAGA